UCCCAGGAGAGGUCGCUGCGGGCGAGCUGGCUCGCUCACCCACCCUUGCCCGCCGUUUACGGUUUAGCCGCGUGCUCUCUCUGUCUCCCUCCCUCCCUGUCGGGGACAAUUCGGCUACCGCUGCCGCCCUACGCCAGGUUCCCAGCUCUUCGCCAGGCCCUUCUCCGGCGACGAGCACCCACCAGGCCACCAGUUGACACUUAAUACUACCUGAAUCUAAUGCUUAUCAAUAUGCCUAAUAUUUGCUGGCGGAGCUUUACUUUGUGCAACACAUAUUCUCCAUCUAAUCAACUACAAGGAGGUUGUACUCAAAGAAUGGAUUUAUGGAUUACUUCUUGCUCACAAGCAGCGAGACAUCAUGCAAGGAUAGGUUCAGUUGAUUUUCCUGUUAAGAAGAACGUGAAGUCAUCCCAAGUGCAAAACGCGACAUGUUUUGUUGGUUUAGUGCGGCAGUUGCAGUGCAGACGGUCAGCAAAAAGCCAUAUCCUGAAUGUAAAGUCUGAUACAGUAGCCCACCAAAAGGUUUCUGGUGUAAGCUGGAGUUUGGAAAAUAUGCCACGAAGAAUAGGAUGUGUAGUCUCUGGACUAGGUUUUGCAGCGUAUGGGCUGGCGAGUGCUGAGGGUCCUGUUAACAACAACAUAGAUAGCACUGAAUCUGCCAUGUCAUCAACAAAUUUAUCUCAUGGGAAAGAAGUUCACACAGACUAUUCUGUUACUGGCAUUCCUGGUGAUGGAAGAUGCCUGUUUCGUUCUGUGGUUCACGGUGCCUACAUUAGGUCAAGGAAGCCCAUACCUAAUGAGGAUCAUCAAAGAAGGCUAGCUGAUGAGUUGAGAACAAAGGUCGCAGAUGAAUUUAUCAAGAGGCGGGCAGAGACUGAAUGGUUUGUUGAGGGGGACUUCGACACGUACGUAUCUCAGAUUAGGAAGCCACAUGUCUGGGGAGGCGAGCCAGAGCUGUUGAUGGCUUCACAUGUUCUUCAGAUGCCAAUCACCGUCUACAUGCACGAUAAAGCCGCUGGUGGUCUAAUAGCGAUCGCGGAAUACGGCCAAGAGCACGGGACGGAAGCUCCCGUCCAAGUUCUUUACCAUGGCUAUGGCCAUUAUGAUGCGCUGCAGAUACCAGGAGAGGGUGGUCCGAGGUCAAGACUGUAACGUUAGUGGCUCUGAAUCUAAAUGAACCGAAUGUAAGUAAAAUACAAAAGAAGAAGGAAGGCCGAAUUGAAAGAAUCGAAAGUGGAAGAACUGGACGUGCCUUCAAACAAUUAGAAGACAAUCCUAGCAGAUGCAGAAGCCCCCGUUGCUAUAGGGAAAAACUCCUCAUACAUUAGAGCGCAGGGAGGAUCUUGCUGACCGAACAACGCUCCACGAACUAUAGUGAUGACUGCAGUAUGCCCCAUUCUGCAGCGAGCAAGUUGUCUCUAUGGCUGGAGAUGGUUGGUGCUACGCCGACGCAGAAGAGGAGGCGAAGGUGAGCACGUCCGGAUCUAGCGUGCGGUCGGCGAUCGUCGUCACGUCGGACGAGAAAGAGAUGGUGGAGAUGGACGCGUCCAGCUCCGACGUUGUCUCGGCGCUCGUCGCCAUGGCGAGCUGGUGCGUGUCGUGCUGGGCACCAGUGUGCUGUCAGGUGACCGCAAAGAAGGAGCGAGAAGCGUAGGAAUGUGAAGUUUCAAAUGGAACUCUCGAGAAGACUCUCCUCGUCCAUUUUUUCCUUUUUUUAAUCGUCACUGAUGCAGCGACAGACAGUCAUCGUUCAUUUGUGAUCGAACGACAUAGAGAAAAAAUACUGACGUGGACCGUCUAGCUGGGCUGUUUUGCGUCCGCGUUUAAUAUAUAGAAACAUUCGCUAAUAUGAUCAGAGUUUUUGGGUUAAAAUACAGGUCGUAGUUUGCAUGUGUAA